AACGAACGCUGGCGGCAUGCCCAACACAUGCAAGUCGAACGAGAUCUUCGGGUCUAGUGGCGCACGGGUGCGUAACGCGUGGGAAUCUGCCCUUUGGUUCGGAAUAACAGUUGGAAACGACUGCUAAUACCGGAUGAUGACGAAAGUCCAAAGAUUUAUCGCCAGAGGAUGAGCCCGCGUAGGAUUAGCUAGUUGGUGUGGUAAAGGCGCACCGAGGCGACGAUCCUUAGCUGGUCUGAGAGGAUGAUCAGCCACACUGGGACUGAGACACGGCCCAGACUCCUACGGGAGGCAGCAGUGGGGAAUAUGGGACAAUGGGCGAAAGCCUGAUCCAGCAAUGCCGCGUGAGUGAUGAAGGCCUUAGGGUUGUAAAGCUCUUUUACCCGGGAUGAUAAUGACUGUACCGGGAGAAUAAGCUCCGGCUAACUCCGUGCCAGCAGCCGCCGUAA
rnacentral:rRNA from 1 species